rnacentral:rRNA from 1 species
UACGUAGGGUGCGAGCGUUAAUCGGAAUUACUGGGCGUAAAGUGUGCGCAGGCGGCCGAGCAAGUCGAGUGUGAAAGCCCCGAGCUUAACUUGGGAACUGCGCUCGAAACUACUUGGCUAGAGUGUGGCAGAGGGAGGUGGAAUUCCACGUGUAGCGGUGAAAUGCGUAGAGAUGUGGAGGAACACCGAUGGCGAAGGCAGCCUCCUGGGCCAACACUGACGCUCAGUGCACGAAAGCGUGGGGAGCAAACAGGA